rnacentral:rRNA from 1 species
GAUCCUGGCUCAGGAUGAACGCUGGCGGCGUGCUUAACACAUGCAAGUCGAGCGAAGCACUUAGGAAAGAUUCUUCGGAUGAUUUCCUAUUUGACUGAGCGGCGGACGGGUGAGUAACGCGUGGGUAACCUGCCUCAUACAGGGGGGAUAACAGUUUAGAAAAUGACUGCUAAUACCGCAUAAGACCACAGCACCGCAUGGUGCAGGGGUAAAAACUCCGGUGGUAUGAGAUGGACCCGCGU